ensembl:lncRNA
AUGCAGAAGUACAUUAGGUACUGCAGACUAUAUGCAGAGCAUUCUGAAAUGAGAUCAGACUCAGGUUCAGUCAUUGUAGCCAUCCAGCCAGUGGUCCAAGGUCUGGGGUCAAGCCCCCACCCAGACACCCUCCCUCCAGGCAGGCAGCCCACCUUACCCCUGCCCCCAACAAGAGCAGGCUUGUCAGUGUCUGCCCAACCCACAGGAGGACCGAUGGGAGGCCAGACCUUUACCCAGCCCCAGAGCACAGAUCUGACAGACUGGCAGACACGAGGAGUGCUCAUCAUUUACAACAUUCCAGAAUGCUUCAUGUGGAAGGAGCGUUAAGAUUCCGUCUAAAGUCACACCUUUCCAAACCCCGCAGACACCAGGACCUCAACCAGAGGGGCAGAAACCUAGAGGGAGAAAGUAGGAAACCAUGAAGUGACAUUGUAAGACCUUGUCGUCAGACAUGAGAUCAGUCUAUAGCAGUGUAUUCUAAUCCUGGGGACACAAAACUGGCAACAAGUGUUUCCCCCCCCCAAGAAGGCUUAGGUGGUAUCCCAGAGUAUUUCAGAAACAACAGAGUUUCACCAACAACAUUAGGGUCUGAUUAUUCAAGACUAAUUAGUGAAAGAUCAGAAUUGAGCUGUAAAUCUAAACGAAGCCUUACACCUCGGUCCCAAGAACCAGGAUUGUGAAACACUGCUCUAGAGUAUAGAUCAGUUCAGUAACCAAUCAGUCAGUUUAACAUCAGACUGGGGCGGUAACAGGAAAUCAUCACUUCUACAUCAUAAAGGACAGAAGUUAAUGGCAACAGAUCAAGUGAAAGUUGAUCCUACACACCUUGAGGUCGUGCAGCAACAGUUCUCCAGUGGCCAGGCUGGAACAGUCAGGACCUGGAAGGAACAGAUCUCUAAUUAAACAUUAUGCAGAAGUACAUUAGGUACUGCAGACUAUAUGCAGAGCAUUCUGAAAUGAGAUCAGACUCAGGUUCAGUCAUUGUAGCCAUCCAGCCAGUGGUCCAAGGUCUGGGGUCAAGCCCCCACCCAGACACCCUCCCUCCAGGCAGGCAGCCCACCUUACCCCUGCCCCAUGCACCGAGAGCAGGCUUGUCAGUGUCUGCCCAACCCACAGGAGGACCGAUGGGAAACCUGGUUUGAUGCCAGCCACAGAGCACCGGACAGAAGCUAACGAACUACUGUGUGACUUCAUCACAAACAGCAUUCCAGAAUGUUCCAUGUGGUGUGUGCUGUAGCAAAGCGUUCAUUGGAGUUGUAGUUCCCUCAGUGAUGUUAAUGAGUAGGUAGAAGGUAGGUGGAGUUUGUAGCAAGUGCAAGAGGUGCAGGGUCAGUGAGUGAAGAUGCUGUAAAAACAAUUCAUACACACCUUCCGGAAGACUGCAGACCCACAAGGACAUCAACUGGGGGAGGAGAGUUGAGGGAUUAUUAAGUGAUAUUGUAAGAACUAGUGGUCAGACAUUAGAUCAGUCAACAGCACAGCAUUAUCUAAUCCUGGGGACCCACCACUCCUCUGGGGCCCCAGGACCAGAACACACUGCUAGUGUAGAUCAGUUCGGUAACCAAUCAGUCAGCUUAACAUCAGACUGGGGCGGUAAUAUGAAAUCAUCACUUCUACAUUAUAAAGGACAGAAGUCAAGUCGAUCACACACACCUGGAGGUAGUUCAGUAACAGGCAUCUUCUAGUAACCAGUCUGGUACCACCAUCAGGACCUGAAGGAGAGGAGUCUAAAUAAACAUGCUGAACAGCACUACAUUCAAAGACUGCUUUAUUGUCUGAUCCUAGACCAGCUCUACUGCCCUGAGACAAUUAUGGAAAGUGCUGACAAGGGCCCUGUACUGCAUCAGGACACCAGUUAUUUGGAAGUCAGUAUUCAAUAUGCAAGAAAAUAUGAAUCUGACGACAUCCCGAAUGGCCCAUCCACCCCAGUCCCGUGUGCUGCUACUAGCACUUCAUGAAUGAUUCUCCAUAUUAAAUCUAAUAGCAGCCAUUUUGGAUCAACAAUGCAGAGCCAAAUGCUAUUUUGUGUGGGUCUCUGGUCCCAUCAGACAGUUGGUAACCCCAACCAGCUGUCCCCUUGUUGCCCUGGCAACGCCAGUGGGUCCACCUUUGCAGGUUCUGUCGUUGACGCAGGGCGUAAGACGCGUGCGGGUGUCAUCACUAGGAGCCAGAGUCACCACGACUACCAAACAUCAACUGUUCACUCUUGUUUGCAGUGAUUUUUAACACUAGACUGGUUAUAGCUUGUGGCUAAGGCAGAGGCUCUGGUAAGACACAAGGACUAGAUUCAUUACCCAUAACAAUUACCAAACGUACUCAUUAACCAAAACUCACCAGUCUAGUUGGCAUCACAGCUUCCUGUUCAGCCACAUACAGAAGAACCUAGGAAGACAAAAGCUUCAGGUUACAGUCUGGGUGGGGACCAGAUAUGAGGGCACAAGGAGGGGGUUAGACAUAACAUAUGUAGCCUUAAUGACAGGUUACGUAGCCCUCUGCUGAAGUCAGCUAUUCCUUUUCUCAACAGGAGUUCAGACGAACGAGAUUCCAAAGAGAAUAUUCAUCAUGUUCAGCAGAAGGUUGGGAGAGCUCAAACAUGUCAUGUUCAGCAGAAGGUGGGGAGAGCUCAAACAUGUCAUGUUCAGCAGAAGGUUGGGAGAGCUCAAACAUGUCAUGUUCAGCAGAAGGCUGGGAGAGCUAAAACAUGUCAUGUUCAGCAGAAGGUUGGGAGAGCUCAAACGUGUCAUGUUCAGCAGAAGGCUGGGAGAGCUAAAACAUGUCAUGUUCAGCAGAAGGUUGGGAGAGCUCAAACAUGUCAUGUUCAGCAGAAGGUUGGGAGAGCUCAAAAUGUCAUGUUCAGCUAAACUAUACAAGUAAAGUUAACAAUGCUGUGUAAAUAUCAAUACAAUAAACUAUAAAGCACCACUUGGGACCGUUUCAGAACCACAACUUACCAGUAUGUUGGAGUCCACGGUGCAAUGCCACUGACCACAGCACCCAGACCCUGAGGAAUGAAAGGCAAUCAUUUUAUUAGUGUGAUGAUUGAGGAAUCGAUGACUAACUGCAGCAUUAUAUACAGUCACUCAGUAGUUAAUGUCGUUUCACAUCGGUUCAAAGUGAGCUAAGAUUGUCAUCAUUGGGACUGUAGCAUCUUCAAGUGACUGGUUCCACGGAGUCAUGGCACUCAACCCACAUGGCACAAUGGACUACUUAUUGACGAGACCGACUGGCCGUACUGUACUGUGACCUGCCCGAUGGUGGUCCCAAUCACAGCCGGAUGUGCCCUAGACCCCUGCGCCACCCAGGAGCAGUUCACAAGGAAUAAGGUGCCAUUUGGGAUUCUAGCAACAUGUAUACGGGUGGAAGACCAAUCCUACCCGUAGUGGGGAACCCAGUUUGAUAGUUGGACAAACUCACCAGUGAAGGUCGUUAAUAAUCCCUUCAGGAAACUUCAUCCCCACGUCUGUUAAAAUGAGAAAGGAAGUUAGUGUUUUGCUGUAAAGAACAUUUAAACAUACAACUGGUGCAUUAGCUACAGUCACUCAGUAGUUCAUGUCGUUCUGUACAGAUGCCUUUAAGUCAGGAAGUCAUGUCACAAGUAAUGCAGACCUGAGCAAAGAACACAUCCAAGUUAGUGACUUACUGGUCUGUAUAUUACUACAAGAGGCUUUGGAACACAGGACAAGGAGGCCAUCAGAUCAAAGUUAGCAUCACCAAAAAUCAGAUAUAUGCUGAAAGUCUACCCCAAGGUGCACUGAGAUAUGAUAACUGUAGCUUUGAUUGCCAAUGCUAACUAAAGCUAGCAUAACGACGUCUACAGGUAUGGUCUAGCAUGCUAGCUGAUAACCAUAUUCUUAAUAGUUGCUAAUGCUAUUGAAUAUUCACCUAAUAGUCUACAUUUACAGUGAACUUGUAUCUACUAACUUUGGAAUUAGAUCCUAGAGGUAAAGUCAAUUACUCACGUGUCAUUCUUCUGGACUUCCCUGGCAUCCGUCCUGCAUUCCUGUUGAUCAGAGGGGAAGUUAGGGAGGUCCAUUUAUGAACAGGCAACAUGCAGGCAUAUAGAACCCGACACGGAUAUCGUCGCUAAUGGACCCUUAUUUCCAAUACAGUGAACUACUUCUGACCAGAUCAACGUUAAUAAGUAGUACACUAUUGAGAAUAGGAUGUCAUUAGCGCAGCAACGACAGUCGAAUCAGGGGCCAAAUGCUACUCAGAAUCUGGUAAAGAAGUUGCUUCUUCAAAUGCUGAUUCGGUAAGAGAGAGUUCAUUUUAUCAUCACCGUAGCAGAGACCUCUAAUGUUGGGUUUAUAAUGACUGACGUCACUCCUAACUGGAAAGCUAGCAUACUAGCUAACAUGGCACGUGGUUAGCUACUUUCUAACUAAAACCACCAAACUAGCCAGUUGGUAAACGAACAUUCGCUUGCAUCAUUUUACUGCAGCAGAGUGAGUCAUUGUACCAUAGCAGAAAAAUGCAGCUUACCUGAGCGGGAUAUUCUCUCUCUCGAGUCGUCCGCAUCUUGAAGAGAAAUGAAACCGUUUACACACACGGACGACUUAACCCACAAAAACCCUCUCAUGAAUAACCAAGUAAGCUUCCGUUCCUUCUUUUUCUUCUUCUAUGGUAUAAUGGCGUUCGCAACAUUGUGCAUUCCGCCACCUACUGUGCGGGUGGAUA